ensembl:lncRNA
GACCACUACAACACCGACAACCUGUCUGGACACUGGGAAGGGUGUGCUCUUGAAACUGGACGCAAAAUGGAAGAACACCUGCAACUAUUGUGAAAGUUCAACAUUUGGGCAAAAUUGGAAUUGGUGAAAGCAAACAAGCGCAAGUUAAAUGGAAUCCACAAAGAACUGGAAGUUCUGGAAAAACCCAGAGCGGAUGUCUGGCAAACCGAAAUUAGGGCGAGUGUGAAGUUGUGACCUCAAACUUCCACAAUGGGGUUUGUUUUCGCUCCACCCUUAACCCCACUGGACUGGUGUUUGAAAAGCUAUCAGACUGACUUCACUAGACGAAUGACUGCGGUGUUUGUCAAAUUCAGGACUGGCGCUGGAAGCUGUAGGUGGAGGGAAGACCAGGAGUGGUGCAGCUCUGUAGAUGCUGAAGGUGUGCCAAUGGGUCACGUGUGUUCCUGAAGGGUCUGAGGCGACCCAGUUGGAGGUCCCUGCGGUGGCGGUCAGCCGGAGGUGUCAAGACCAACCAGCUCCUCGUCCAGGAAAGGUGAAUUCAUCAGACCGAUUAAAGGUUCAAUAAAAGUACGAUGACCGAACAGUUGAUCUACAACAGUGGCCUACUCCCCAUCCACCCUGAGGAUCCCUGGCUACACCUACAAUCCAAUCUACCCCAGACAUAACCACUUGGAGCUCAACAACUUCUACAACUCCCCCUACCUCCUACACACCAUACUGUUACCACUUUACCAUUUUAACUUUAAAACAAAGUACUGUAAUUCACACCAUGUUGUAGGAAAAGCAUGUUUACUUGAAUGAUUUAUGCAUUUUAUUUCUGUGACCCCAACUAUUGUAUUUCUGACCCAGUUACCUCUGAACCCUCUUUCUAAGGGAGCGACUAAAGGGACAAAGCUGGAGCUAACCUGAGCUUAACAAUCUUUCUAAUCUUUCUUUCAAAUGCCCUAAAUUGAAUCACAUAAAAUGCCUAAAGUAACUUGUCUAACAAAACAAAAAGCCAACCUAAUACCCAAACUUAACCAUCUAACUAUAGAUCUCAAAUGCCUAAACUCUCUUACUCUAAACGAGUACCUAAACUGAACCAUUUAACUAAACAUCUCAAAGGCCUAAACUCGCUUACCUCAACCUAACCUAAUACCCAAACUUAACCAUCUAUAACUGAAGAGCUCAAACGCCUAAACUCUUACCAUAACCUAGUACCUAAACUGAACCAUCUAACUAAACAUCUUAAAGGCCUAAACUCGCUUACCUCAACCUAACCUAAUACCCAAACUUGACCCUCUAACUAAACAUCUCUAAUGCCUAAACUCUUUCCUAAUACCUAAACAAUCUUUAAUACAAUCACUAAUGCCUAAACUUAACCAAACACCAAUAAUAAAAGUUAACCAUCCUUAAUCUUAAACCCAAACCAGACUUGUCCCUGGGUCGCUCCACUUUGUUUCUUUAAAGGCAUCUCUUUUCCCCCGCAUCUGUGUUUUAUUCCUUGAGGACUUCAAGUACUUCAGAUGAUGUUUGAAAACUUGUUUCAUUAAUAAAGAUACUUCAUCUUUACAGAUUUUGUUUUGGGGAAUUGGGACUGCUGAGCAGCUUAAGCAUCCUUACUGGUGAAACUGAUCUGACAAUAUCAAUUUUAGUACUAUGAAGCCAAUAACAUGAGGCUGAAUAUGUGAAAAGACGAGGUGGACAAUGAUCGAGGAGUCAACAAGGAGUUGAUUGGUAAACAUCUAACGUGGAACCAAUGCUUAUUUGUUUGAUCUGUUACCAGGCUAUCGCAGUAGGGGAAUCUGGAGGAGUACCCAACAGUGUUGCAUGGGUUCUUGAUAGAUUGCAUUACGGCUGAGGCCAUUCAUUAAGAUUGUUGAUUUGAUGAAUAUGAAUAAAGAG